CCUACGGGAGGCAGCAGUGAGGAAUAUUGGUCAAUGGGCGCGAGCCUGAACCAGCCAAGUAGCGUGAAGGAUGACUGCCCUACGGGUUGUAAACUUCUUUUAUAAAGGAAUAAAGUGAGGGACGUGUCCCGUUUUGUAUGUACCUUAUGAAUAAGGAUCGGCUAACUCCGUGCCAGCAGCCGCGGUAAUACGGAGGAUCCGAGCGUUAUCCGGAUUUAUUGGGUUUAAAGGGUGCGUAGGCGGCCUUUUAAGUCAGCAGUGAAAGUCUGUGGCUCAACCAUAGAAUUGCCGUUGAAACUGGGAGGCUUGAGUAUGUUUGAGGCAGGCGGAAUGCGUGGUGUAGCGGUGAAAUGCUUAGAUAUCACGCAGAACCCCGAUUGCGAAGGCAGCCUACCAGGCCAUGACUGACGCUGAUGCACGAAAGCGUGGGGAUCAAACAGGAUUAGAUACCCCAGUAGUC
rnacentral:rRNA from 1 species